GACGAACGCUGGCGGCGUGCUUAACACAUGCAAGUCGAACGGAAAGGCCCUGCUUGCCGGGUGCUCGAGUGGCGAACGGGUGAGUAACACGUGGGUGAUCUGCCCCUUACUUUGGGAUAAGCCUGAGAAACUGGGUCUAAUACUGGAUAGGACCAUGCUGUAGGUGGUGUGGUGGAAAGAUUAGUUUCGGUAAGGGAUGAGCUCGCGGCCUAUCAGCUUGUUGGUGGGGUAAUGGCCUACCAAGGCGUCGACGGGUAGCCGGCCUGAGAGGGUGGACGGCCACAUUGGGACUGAGAUACGGCCCAGACUCCUACGGGAGGCAGCAGUGGGGAAUAUUGCACAAUGGGCGCAAGCCUGAUGCAGCGACGCCGCGUGGGGGAUGACGGCCUUCGGGUUGUAAACUCCUUUCAGCCAUGACGAAGCCCUUGUGGUGACGGUAGUGGUAGAAGAAGCACCGGCUAACUACGUG
rnacentral:rRNA from 1 species